AGAACGCCUAAUUCUCAGAGCAACUGCAUGUUCGUCCUUAAGAGGGAAACCACAUCUGACCAAGCGGUUUCAAUAACACAGACCCCAGACGCACACAUUCAAAAUUAUAUGGUAUUGCUCUUGGUUGGACUACCUACUCGUCUCCAAGGAAAGAUGUGAAACAAAUGGUGUCUUAAUUCUUACCAUCGUCCCUCAAAGCACGCCUUGGAAAAGAUCCGAAUCCUGUGCUAGUUGGUUAUUUAAUGCUCUCACAACCCUGCUGUACUCGUCUAAAAGUGCCGGUAAUCGUGAUUCUUUGGGAGUUGGUGUGGAAUUCAAAAUACCGACUAGUGUUCAAACACAUGUCGAAUUUAUGAACUGAAGUGGCUUUGGUAAGGAAGCGUGUUCAUCCAGCAUAAGGGCGACGGUAUUGAGAUCAGAGAAAUUGAGAACUAGGCAGAUCAUCAGUCGAACAUAUACCGUGUGACUGGGCACAUCCCGUGAACACAUAAGUUUUCAAUUGAAGCUUUGGUGGAGAUCUCCUCGUGCGUCAAUAUGGAUCGAUUCGAACCGGAGGAAAUAUUCUGGAACAAUGGUGAGGAAUUUGACAUGUCGCCACGAUGGUUCUUCAAUUCAAGUGGCACCAUCUCUCAAGGGAGUGGUGCCCUUAUUGUUUUGGUUAUUGCUGGGGUGCUUGGAACUGCAGCAGGACUGUUCUACUUCAAUGCCAUAGGUAUUGGCAAACGGAAACGAAGCAUUAAUUCCAACCAGUUUUUGCCAUCCCUAUUCACAUCACCAUUCUUAAUGGCAACCUUGGACAGUUUCUGGAAUGAAGACAAUCGCGAGAACGCCAUACACAUUCUCCAGAAAGUUGCAUCUACUUACGCAAAAUAUAAUUAAACCCAUUUAGAAUGAAUCUAGAAAGCGAAUCCUAUCCUCAAAUAUAAUAUACAUA